UAGAGCGUUUUCUUGUUUCUAGGGUUUUUGAGAUUUUUUGUUGGAGUCAAUUCGCUUUCUUCCUCGAUCGGUGGAAAAUCUUCUCUAGAAAUCUUCUUCCAUAUUUGGGACUGGUUUGUGAAUUGUGACGAUGUCUCGCGUUUACGUUGGGAAUUUGGAUCCUCGAGUGACUGAAAGAGAUCUGGAAGAUGAAUUCCGGAUGUACGGCGUUCUUCGGAGCGUCUGGGUUGCUAGAAGACCACCGGGAUACGCAUUCCUUGAAUUUGAUGAUCGCAGGGAUGCUCUAGAUGCAAUUCAAGCCUUGGAUGGAAAAAAUGGUUGGCGUGUGGAGCUUUCUCAUAAUUCUAAGGGUGGUGGAGGUCGUGGUGGGGGUGGACGUGGCCGCGGUGGAGGUGAUGACUUGAAGUGUUAUGAGUGUGGUGAGCCUGGACAUUUUGCUAGAGAAUGCCGUCUGCGUGUUGGUUCACGAAGUUUGGGUGGUGGAAGGCGUCGAAGCCCUUCUCCUCGACGCCGCAGAAGCCCAAGUUAUGAUAGAUAUGGGCGAAGGAGUUAUAGUCCGCGUAGGAGGUCUCCCAAACGCCGUAGCAUGUCACCACCAGUUCGAGGAGGUCGAAGCUACAGCAAGUCUCCUCCAUAUCGCCAUGCUCGUCGUGGGUCUCCUUAUGCCAAUGGGGACUGAAGCUGGAACCUGAAGUGGAGCAAAUGCUAGAUGACCUCACAGGAUGACGCACCACUAUACUUUUAGUUCUAGUAGGAUUUGGUUGAAUGGACGAGGAUCAUAUUAGUUAUGUUGAUAUUAUGACAGUGGGUUUUAUUAGAAACAUGGUAUUGGAUGGCUUCUACAAAGCGUGUUGGCUGCCAAAUGGGGUGCUUUGGACACCGUUUUGCGCUGGCUUUCUUGCUUCAGCUUAAUUUUGGAGGUCGGUUUUUGGCUAUAAUGGCAUCGUUGGCCGCUUACUGCAUCUUUAAUGCACAUGGUUCUCAUCUCUGCUUCUGCACCACUAUCUUCUACUUCUUGUUGCUCGUCUACACUAGUGAGUAAAACUGGAAUAUACAGGAAGUGUGGUUGUGUACUUGUGUGGCACUCUUUUGUUGCGUUCUUCUGCAACAAAGCUUCUGGUCUAUCUUCUUUUUUUAGCUGACUCAACCUUAAAGACACUGAAGCUGUUUACUGCACUCGCUUCCUCUGCGUCUCUGCACAUGAUCUUCUCGUUGCUUUCUCUGCAUUUUAGUUCGCUUACUUUGCAUGUUGAAAUAUCCUUAGUAACUCGGCUGCACUCAACCUGUCAACCAUUUAUGAACGCCCCUGUCGUCGUAAAGCUCCCAUCAUAGACUCCCACUUCUCAAUUAGCUGGUUGAAGAAGGUGAAGGUGUUUGUUGGACCAUUGGUUAUAUGCGUCCAAGUUUGGUUUUCGACUGGUUGGUACUCAGCUUCCAUGGUAGUAAUCUUAGGAAAUAGUGACCACCAAACUUCCUCUCUCCUUUUAUUGUGUUCAUUACCUUGUCGGGCCAUGACAUGUCUCCCGCUUUAAUCACUGCAGUCUUGUGAUUUGGUGUUGAGCUUUUGCACCCAAAAUGGAGUUGCGUGAUUGCAGUGGUUGGUUGUACCCGUCAACCAAGUUGUUUUAUUCUAAGCUCGUGUAGAUUAUCUUGCAUUUGGGAUUUCGCCAGUUGGUUGCUGUUUCCUUUUUGUCAUUGUUGUUAUCUCUUUGAUUUAGAUACCAUGACCUUUAUGUCAAAAAAAAAAAAAAAAAGGAGAUGCACGAACCCUCGAUACUUACAGUAUAUGUUGUAAUUUUAACGUUCAGGUUGGUGACAACUUUGUAAAUUCGGUUGAGCAUGCAUUUGUUAACAAUUGUU